UGCACCAUGGGAAGAGAACAGCAGCACCGGGAACCUGCUGGGAGAGCGACAUGUCUCUGCCCAUGCCCGACUACGGCCUGACUGCCCGCCGCUGGCACAGAGCCUGGCACAGAGCAGACCCAGGCCCUACAGCAUGGCAGGCUUACCACACAGCCUGCCCUUGAGGACUAUGACAGUCGCUUUGCUGCUGCAAGUUCUGAUCCCGAUGGCAAAUUGAUUUCGACAGUGUGAGAACAGACAGAGACAGCUCCCUACCGGAUAGCACAGGGGCCUCCCCCUCU